UACAGAGGGUGCAAGCGUUGUUCGGAAUCAUUGGGCGUAAAGAGCGUGUAGGCGGCUCGAUAAGUCUGCUGUGAAAAGUCCAGGGCUCAACCCUGGAAGGCCGGUGGAAACUGUCGGGCUAGAGUCCGGAAGAGGGCGAGUGGAAUUCCCGGUGUAGCGGUGAAAAUGCGCAGAUAUCGGGAGGAACACCAGUGGCGAAGGCGGCUUACUGGUCCGGUUCUGACGCUGAGGCGCGAAAGCGUGGGGAGCAAACAGGG
rnacentral:rRNA from 1 species